UGCAGAGUGGAGCAAUCUGGUAGCUCGUGAGUUUCAUAGUCUUGAGGUUAUGGGUUCAAAUCCCGUCUCUGCAU
rnacentral:tRNA from 1 species